UCGGGAAUUUUGGGCAAUGGGCGAAAGCCUGACCCAGCAACGCCGCGUGAAGGAUGAAGUCUCUCGGGAUGUAAACUUCGUAAGAAUAGGAAGAAUAAAUGACGGUACUAUUUGUAAGGUCCGGCUAACUACGUGCCAGCAGCCGCGGUAAUACGUAGGGACCAAGCGUUGUUCGGAUUUACUGGGCGUAAAGGGCGCGUAGGCGGCGUGGUAAGUCACUUGUGAAAUCUCCGAGCUUAACUCGGAACGGUCAAGUGAUACUGCUGUGCUAGAGUACAGAAGGGGCAAUCGGAAUUCUUGGUGUAGCAGUGAAAUGCGUAGAUAUGUGGAGGAAUACCGAUGGCGAAGGCAGCCCCCUGGGAUAACACUGACGCUCAUGCACGAAAGCGUGUGGAGCAAACAGGAUUAGAUACCCCAGUAGUCCCUGAGCGGGCUGGCAAGGCGCAU
rnacentral:rRNA from 1 species